AGGAGGGGACAGUCGUGGAGGAGAUAAGGAGAUAAGGCAUUCACAGCGAAGACUGAGGUAGGCGACUACUGAGCAAGGCGGAGA